CCGUGUUUCGAGUUACUCCGGAACACAGUGUUUAUUCUGUGUUUAGUCACGCCGCGUCAAAAAUGUUCCACAGGGUUACUUCCGGUUUAUCGUUGUUUACCAACAGUCGACACUUCGUGUAUUAGGCCUAGGCUUAAUUUUGUCGAUCAUCAUGAAAUUGAAAUACAAAUUGAAUAGUUUGGGGUGUAUGCGGUACAUAUUUGUUUAUGAGCGUUUGAUAAGCUACUAUUGAUCUACGAAAUACAACGAAAGACUUCGUCAAGAACAGAAGAAGACGAUGCAUGUCGUGUAACUCACACAAGGCCCAGCUGUCUAGUAACCGGAGGGGUAAAGGAAAAGAACGUAUUAGACUCACUGAAACCUGUCAAACAGGUAUAUGGGAACAGGAUCAUUUUCCAUGCCUUUCACUUGAGGUCUUCAGUUUCAUCAUUAAUCAUCUGAAUGUCGGUAUGCCAAACUCUCAUGAUGUCAUGCCAUUACUGGAUAUUCCUUAACACUGGUUUAUUUAAGCCACACUACCUAUAACAUUGCCAAAAUAUUAGACUGAAAAUUUUCAAAUACACAAGAUUUGAAGCAGCAAAAGAAAAGAAUUACAUAUGUAUAACACACAAAAAAGAAGAAAUUAAUUCUCACCUGGCUGAUAUGAACUUUUUACUCCUUUUUAGCUCCCUUUCACUGCAUACCAGCCAAUAACUAGCAGUCAUUAUAUGCAGAUCAGCCAUUGUUAUCAACCUGUGUAUAUAUAUGUUGAAUGAAAUAUGAAUGAAAA